rnacentral:rRNA from 1 species
AUUGAACGCUGGCGGCAUGCUUUACACAUGCAAGUCGAACGGUAACAGCACUUCGGUGGCUGACGAGUGGCGAACGGGUGAGUAAUACAUCGGAACGUGCCUAGUAGUGGGGGAUAACUACUCGAAAGAGUAGCUAAUACCGCAUGAGAUCUAAGGAUGAAAGCAGGGGACCUUCGGGCCUUGCGCUACUAGAGCGGCUGAUGGCAGAUUAGGUAGUUGGUGGGAUAAAAGCUUACCAAGCCGACGAUCUGUAGCUGGUCUGAGAGGACGACCAGCCACACUGGGACUGAGACACGGCCCAGACUCCUACGGGAGGCAGCAGUGGGGAAUUUUGGACAAUGGGCGCAAGCCUGAUCCAGCAAUGCCGCGUGCAGGAUGAAGGCCUUCGGGUUGUAAACUGCUUUUGUACGGAACGAAGAGCCCUCUUCUAAUACAGGAGGGUCAUGACGGUACCGUAAGAAUAAGCACCGGCUAACUACGUG